AUACGGAGGGGGCGAGCGUUGUCCGGAAUGAUUGGGCGUAAAGGGCGCGUAGGCGGCCCGGUAAGUCUGGAGUGAAAGUCCUGUUUUUAAGAUGGGAAUUGCUUUGGAUACUGUCGGGCUUGAGUGCAGGAGAGGUAAGUGGAAUUCCCAGUGUAGCGGUGAAAUGCGUAGAGAUUGGGAGGAACACCAGUGGCGAAGGCGACUUACUGGACUGUAACUGACGCUGAGGCGCGAAAGUGUGGGGAGCAAACAGGAUUAGAUACCCUGGUAGUCCACACUGUAAACGAUGAAUGCUAGGUGUAGGGGGUAUCGACCCCUUCUGUGCCGCAGUCAACACAAUAAGCAUUCCGCCUGGGGAGUACGGCCGCAAGGUUGAAACUCAAAGGAAUUGGCGGGG
rnacentral:rRNA from 1 species